rnacentral:tRNA from 1 species
AAGGUUAAGUAACAUAAAAGUAAGGGCCUUCAAAGCCCCAAACAGGGAUCAAACACCCUAGCUUUU